AACGAACGCUGGCGGCAUGCCUAACACAUGCAAGUCGAACGAGACCUUCGGGUCUAGUGGCGCACGGGUGCGUAACGCGUGGGAACCUGCCCUUAGGUUCGGAAUAACUCCCCGAAAGGGGUGCUAAUACCGGAUAAUGUCUUCGGACCAAAGAUUUAUCGCCUUUGGAUGGGCCCGCGUUGGAUUAGCUAGUUGUUAGGGUAAAAGCCUACCAAGGCGAGGAUCCAUAGCUGGUCUGAGAGGAUGAUCAGCCACACUGGGACUGAGACACGGCCCAGACUCCUACGGGAGGCAGCAGUGGGGAAUAUUGGACAAUGGGCGAAAGCAUGAUCCAGCAAUGCCGCGUGAGUGAUGAAGGCCUUAGGGUUGUAAAGCUCUUUUACCCGGGAUGAUAAUGACAGUACCGGGAGAAUAAGCUCCGGCUAACUCCGUG
rnacentral:rRNA from 1 species